AGCGAACGCUGGCGGCAGGCUUAACACAUGCAAGUCGAGCGGGCCCUUCGGGGUCAGCGGUGGACGGGUGAGUAACGCGUGGGAACGUGCCUUCUGGUCUGGAAUAACCCUGGGAAACUAGGGCUAAUACCGGAUACGCCCUUUUGGGGAAAGGUUUACUGCCGGAAGAUCGGCCCGCGUCUGAUUAGCUAGUUGGUGGGGUAACGGCCUACCAAGGCGACGAUCAGUAGCUGGUCUGAGAGGAUGAUCAGCCACACUGGGACUGAGACACGGCCCAGACUCCUACGGGAGGUAGCAGUGGGGAAUAUUGGACAAUGGGCGCAAGCCUGAUCCAGCCAUGCCGCGUGAGUGAUGAAGGCCUUAGGGUUGUAAAGCUCUUUUAUCCGGGACGAUAAUGACGGUACCGGAGGAAUAAGCCCCGGCUAACUUCGUG
rnacentral:rRNA from 1 species